UCAAGAGAGAAAAUACGGAAAAUAACAUGCUAUAUAACUUAAUUUGGAAAACAGGCAUAGCAGACCUGAGAUUAAAGCAAUCAACAUUGUGACAAGCAACUAUUAAGCAGGUCUAAUACUUACACCAAUUUUAGUUUAACAUGCUCUUGUCAGAUCUG